ACUCAAAUGAAUUGACGGAGGUCUGUAAAAGCGGUGGAGCAUCUGGUUUAAUGCGAAAUAACGCGCAGAACCUUACCAGUCCUUGUAUAAUUUAAAGUUUUAUGUUUUUCUUAAAAAUAAUUUUUGUAUAGUAUAUAUACGAAAUAGUAAAUUACAGGUGCUGCAUGGCUGUCGUCAGUCCGUGUCUUGAGAUGUUCGGUUAACUCCUUUAACGGGCGCAACCCUUAUUUUUAUAUUUAUUUAGGUAAUUUUAUUAACUUUUAUGUUAUUGAAUUAUUUAUUUUAAAAAAACUGCCUUUGAUAUAAAGGAGAGAGGUGAGGAUCAUGUCAAGUCAGUAUGGCCCUAAUGGACUGGGCUACACAGGUGCCACAAAGGUAAUAUCAAUAUGAAGCUAUUUCGUGAGAAGUCGCAAAUCUUAUAAACGUUAUCUUAGUACGAAUUGUUCUCUGCAACUCGAGAGCAUGAAGCCGGAAUCGCUAGUAAUCGUAAAACAGCACGUUACGGUGAAUACACAUCCAGACCUAGUACACACCGCCCGU
rnacentral:rRNA from 1 species